rnacentral:rRNA from 1 species
GACGAGGGGUCCAAGCGUUGUUCGGAAUCAUUGGGCGUAAAGCGGGUGUAGGCGGCUCUAUAAGUCAGGAGUGAAAUCCCCGAGCUUAACUUGGGAAGUGCUUUUGAUACUGCAGAGCUUGAAUGUGGGAGAGGGUAGUGGAAUUCCAGGUGUAGUGGUGAAAUGCGCAGAUAUCAGGAGGAACACCGGUGGCGAAGGCGGGUCUCUGGGCAGUAACUGACGCUGAGGAGCGAAAGCGUGGGGAGCGAACAGG